rnacentral:rRNA from 1 species
AUACGGAGGAUCCGAGCGUUAUCCGGAUUUAUUGGGUUUAAAGGGAGCGUAGGCGGGAGAUCAAGUCAGCUGUGAAAUGUAGAUGCUCAACAUCUGCACUGCAGUUGAAACUGGUUUUCUUGAGUGCGUAAGGGGCAGGCGGAAUUCGUCGUGUAGCGGUGAAAUGCUUAGAUAUGACGAAGAACUCCGAUCGCGAAGGCAGCCUGCCGGGCCGCGACUGACGCUGAAGCUCGAAGGUGCGGGUAUCGAACAGGAUUAGAUACCCUGGUAGUCCGCACAGUAAACGAUGGAUACUCGCUGUCGGCGAUAUACGGUCGGUGGCCAAGCGAAAGCGUUAAGUAUCCCACCUGGGGAGUACGCCGGCAACGGUGAAACUCAAAUGAAUUGACGGGG